rnacentral:rRNA from 1 species
AUACGUAGGUGGCAAGCGUUGUCCGGAUUUACUGGGUGUAAAGGGCGUGUAGGCGGAGAUGCAAGUCAGGAGUGAAAUCUAGGGGCUCAACCCCUAAACUGCUUUUGAAACUGUAUCCCUUGAGUAUCGGAGAGGCAGGCGGAAUUUCUAGUGUAGCGGUGAAAUGCGCAGAUAUUAGGAGGAACACCAGUGGCGAAUGCGACCUGCCAGACCACAACUGACGCUGAGGCGCCAAAGCGUGGGGAGCACACAGGAGUAUAUACCCCGGUAGCCCACGCUGUCAACGAUGAAUACUAGGUGUGGGGGGAGGUACCCCCUCCGUGCCGCAGUUAACACAAUAAGUGGACCCCCUGGGGAGUUCGAUCGCAAGAUUGAAACUCAAAGGAAUUGACGGGG